AGUGAACGCUGGCGGUAGGCCUAACACAUGCAAGUCGAACGGCAGCACAGUAAGAGCUUGCUCUUACGGGUGGCGAGUGGCGGACGGGUGAGGAAUACAUCGGCAUCUACUUUUUCGUGGGGGAUAACGUAGGGAAACUUACGCUAAUACCGCAUACGACCUACGGGUGAAAGCAGGGGAUCUUCGGACCUUGCGCGAUUGAAUGAGCCGAUGUCGGAUUAGCUAGUUGGCGGGGUAAAGGCCCACCAAGGCGACGAUCCGUAGCUGGUCUGAGAGGAUGGUCAGCCACACUGGAACUGAGACACGGUCCAGACUCCUACGGGAGGCAGCAGUGGGGAAUAUUGGACAAUGGGCGCAAGCCUGAUCCAGCCAUACCGCGUAGGUGAAGAAGGCCUUCGGGUUGUAAAGCCCUUUUGUUGGGAAAGAAAAGCAGCAGGUUAAUACCCCGCUGUUCUGACGGUACCCAAAGAAUAAGCACCGGCUAACUUCGUG
rnacentral:rRNA from 1 species